GGACACGUGAGGGAUGCGUACUUCAGCAGUCAGGCUGGAGCGCCGUGCAGAUCCCACGACUGUUGCUUGGAGCUCCAUUUCUCCCGGUUGCCUCUGAUCUCUGCAGAUGGCAGAGCCUUGCUGCCCUAAUGCUGCUUCACACCCACGCACUGCACACACACUGCCCGGCACAGCUGCACGCUGUACGGUCCGCGCGCAGUUCCAUCUCAGAGGCUGCCUGUCACUAAUACCACCUCUGGCCGUGCCGAGAUGCCCGUACCAUCGCUGAGAAAUCCUCACACCAUCUGUGCAUGUGGUGUCUUUUGCAUCCAUGCUGCACCCGUCUGCUUCUCUUCUCUGUGGUCCAGGUUCCACCAUGUUGCACCGCUUGAGAGACCGGGAGCUGCUCCGGAAGAGAAAGGCAGAAGCCGAGGAGAAGGAUUCGAUUCAGUGGGCUCUGGGGGAGCAUGAGAGAAGCAAGCGGCAGAGGAGAGGCCAAGGUGCCAGGCGAGGAAAGGGCCGUGAGCAUGUCGUGGAGCCUGCACCACAGUCAAAACCACAGCCAAACCCUCAGCCCCCGAAGAAGGAGGAAGCUGAGAAGAUGUCCUCCGCGGCGAUGCAGCAAGCCGAGUCUUCCCAGAUGGACGUGCAGGACCUGUUUGCUGGGGUGCAGCUGUCAGAUCUGGAAGGGAUACUGGCCUCUGGGAGCCAGAGUCCCCUGGGUGAAGAGGAUAUGCUGAAGCUGGCAGACGAAAUACAAGAGGUCCUGAAUACUUCACUGGAAAAGAACGAACCAGAUAACGACGUGUACUCAUCAAGCCUAUUUUAAAGUUUUAUUUAAAAUAUAUAUGUAUUCUUCUAAUUUUUAUGACUAAGAAAUACUGAAAAGCCUUGCAGAGAGACUUAAAGUUGCUCCUUCCUCAGCAACAAUAAAAACCUGACUCUCUCU
rnacentral:lncRNA from 7 species